CAGCAGUAGCCGCGGUAAAACGUAGGGUGCAAGCGUUAAUCGGAAUUACUGGGCGUAAAGCGUGCGCAGGCGGUUUGUUAAGACAGAUGUGAAAUCCCCGGGCUCAACCUGGGAACUGCAUUUGUGACUGGCAAGCUAGAGUGUGGCAGAGGGGGGUGGAAUUCCGCGUGUAGCAGUGAAGUGCGUAGAUAUGCGGAGGAACACCGAUGGCGAAGGCAGCCCCCUUGGCCAACACUGACGCUCAUGCACGAAAGCGUGGGGAGCAAACAGGAUUAGAUACCCCCGUAGUCCCUGUCUCUUAUAC
rnacentral:rRNA from 1 species